rnacentral:rRNA from 3 species
CCUGGCGGCGAUAGCGCGGUGGUCCCACCUGACCCCAUGCCGAACUCAGAAGUGAAACGCCGUAGCGCCGAUGGUAGUGUGGGGCUUCCCCAUGUGAGAGUAGGGAACUGCCAGG